rnacentral:rRNA from 1 species
UACGUAGGCAGCGAGCGUUGUUCGGAAUUACUGGGCGUAAAGAGUGUGUAGGCGGUGUUCCCAGUCUGUUGUGAAAUCUCCCGGCUUAACUGGGAGGGUGCAGCGGAAACUAGAAUGCUAGAGGGUGGGAGAGGUAAGCGGAAUUCCUGGUGUAGCGGUGAAAAUGCGUAGAUAUCAGGAGGAACACCUGUGGUGUAGACAGCUUACUGGACCACUUCUGACGCUGAGACACGAAAGCGUGGGUAGCAAACAGG